rnacentral:tRNA from 1 species
GCCGGCCUCGCGCAGGGCGGGCAGCGCCAGCGGGUCGCGACCGCCGCGGGCCCGCAGGGCCAGCAGGCCGCCGUUCAGGGCGGUGCGCCGGCUC